ACUAGGCAGAAAUGCAGAUUCUCAGCCCCACCCAGACCUACCAAGUGGAAAUUCUGGGAGUGAGGCCCGGCCGCUGGGCUUUUAAGAGAACCCCUCUGAUGGGUGUUGAGUCAGGAAGGGUUGACAUCUUGAUGAGUUUAGAAGUACCUGUGGUGGUGACACUGAUGUGAGUGAGGUGUGUUCACACCUGUGGGGAUGAUCCUGGUGUGGCUGUUUGUGGGCAAAGGCUAGGAGCGUGGGAGCCCUGCUUGCGAAGAUCUGCUUCGCCUAUUGUUAACGUCGCACCCGUUGCCUUAUCAUAAGGUGUUUUCUGGAGCAUCUGAACCAGACAGCAUACUUCUUCAGAUGAUGCAGCGGCAAGGGUCCUGCUGUGUGUUGUUUUCCCUGAUCAGUGAUGAGUCUCCUGAGAGCCCAGGGACCUUCCCAAAGGUGCAGUGCAGGUGUGAGGUCACAGCAGCCCGUGAGGUUCAGGCGGCUGCCAGCUCUCUCCCAGAGGACCCACCUUGCAAGAAGGUCUGGAGGGGCUUCAAGAAGGAAAAGGCACCUUUUAAAUGUUGCCUGCCUGCCCCCAGGUGAUUUGAGGAGAAAAAGAAUUCCAUUCAGUUUCCUCAUUUUGUUUGAGUUUGCAGAUUCAGAAGUGAGGAUGUUUCCAUUUAAAAGAAAUAGGGUCUUUCAUUUGUUUUACUGCAUAUGGACUCAUAAAAAGUGCUAUAAUUCUUUAAGGACAAAAUACAAGUGUGGUGUCAGGAAGCAUCCGGGCCCCUAGGUAAAUCUGCAGUCGGCCCUGCAUGAUGAAGGGAUGUAAUAAAAUAUGUAAUUGGUGUUAGGGAAAACAUCCUGAAGGAGAGGAAGUUGAAGUUCAGCAGACCCACCCCUCCGGGAAUUAGAAGGGACACCCAUCUGUCAGGUUGAAGACCAGCAAGGGGUUGGAGAUGUAAAUGUGAUCAGGAAAACUAAGAUAAGGAAACAGUUCCUUGUGUUUGCAUGUGGUGCUGUAACCUGAGACAGGUGAGGCAUAGCUGCUAUUUCCCCUUUACAGCGACGUCAAAUGACUGUGGUGCUGGUGGUCAUGACCUUUGAAUGGCUAUUCGUGUAUUCAUUCACUAAAUCUUUAUUGAGCAUGUACUGUGUGCUGGGCCCUAUUGUAUACAGUAGUUGACAAAGCAGACAAAACUCUGCCUUCGUGGAGCUGACCUCCUAGUGGGGAAGGCAGAUAAUAAUGUAAUAAUAGGGAUAAAUCAGUAAAUUAUGUGCCAUAUUCCAUGUUUUCUUCAGAAGUCCUGAGGACACGGCAACAGAGGGGAGCUGGUUUAAAUUGUAAACAGGGUGGCUACGUGGGUUUGAAGAGAAGGGUGGUGUGACCCGGGUGACCCUGGCUGCUGUGUUGAGGAUAGACUGAAUUAUGAGUCGGGCACGGAAUUAGGUCUGUACAAGCUCGUGGGGCAUCUUUACGGUGACCACAGGGCAGAUGUGAGGCUCAGAGGUGGCAGUGAAUGUGCUUACGGUCGCAGAGCUGGUAAGUGCCAACAACCCUCCAUCGUGGAGGAGCCCAAACAUGUGAAGGAGGUGUGUGGUUGACACCUGUCUUUGGGACAGCAGUGCAUUGAGAUUUGGAUGAAGGAAGGAUCAGCCAAGUGUCUGCACAGAGCAGAACGAAUGUGAAAGUCUUGCUCUGUGGAUAGGGAGGUCUGAAAAGUUUCUUGGGAGCCAAGGAAUUAUCAGCGCCACAAAGUUAGAAUGCAUACAACAUUGCAUUCAUUGCAUUGCAUGCAAACAGGGGAGUUUCCUUUAUUCAGUGCGAGGUCUUUACUGUUGAGAGGCUGUGUGUGUAUGGUGGUGAAGAGAACAGACUGUGGAAUGAACGGUGUGAAUUCAGAUCCCAGCUCCACCAUUUAAUAGCUGUGUGACUGCAGGUAAGUUAUCUGACUUCUCUUUGCCUUGGUUCUGUAAUCUGCAAAAUGGGAAUAAUAUAUGAACCUAAACAUGUUUUUACCAUACGGUCCUGUGGUCGUGGUCCUUGGUGUUUGCCCACGGGAGCUGAAAAACCCAUGCCCGCACAAACAUCUGCACACAGAUGUGUACGCAGCUGUAUUCAUAAUUGCCAAGCCUUGGUAGCAAGUAGAAUAUCCUUCAGCAGGCGGCUGGAUAAGCAGACCGUGGUCCGUCCAGAUAAUAGAAUAUUACUCAGCACUAAGAAGAAACGGACUGCUGGCCACAGAACAUGUGGAGAAGCCUUAAAUGUGUGUCACUAAGUGGAAGAAGCCAAUCUGAAAAGGCCACAUACUGUAUGAUUCCAAUUACUUGACAUUCUGGAAAAGGUAAAUCUGUGGGCAUGGUGAACAGAUCAGGAGUUGCUGGGGUGGGGGUAGGGGUGACUGAAUGGGGCAUGGAGGAUUUCCAGGGCAGUGAAGAUUCUCUGUGUGAUCCCAUAAUGACAGAUACGUGUCCUUAUACAUUUGCCCAAAUCCGUAGAAUGUCCACCACCUGGAGUGGUGCCUUAGGCAAGCCGUACAUCUGGGUGACGAUGACGUGUCCGUGUGGGCUCAUCGGUUGUAGCGAAGGUGCUGUCUGCUGGGGGUGUCGACAGUGGAGGCCGUGCACGUGCGGGUGGGACAGGGGUGUGCAGGGAUUCUCUGUGCCUUCCACGUAGUUUUGCCGUGAACCUAAAACUGCCCUAAUAAUAAACUGUGUUUCUGAUUGGAGUAAUGGUAGUACUUCCCAAAUGGUGUAGUGGUGAGGGCUCCGAGUUACAACAAACAAGGCACUUGGAACGGUGCCUGGCUGGAGUCAGCCUACGUGUUUAUUAUUACUAACAGAUUAUUCACAAGCAUGAAAGUGUUUAUGUAGCUGUCCUGUGUUCACUCAUAUACUUGGAAAUGUCUAUUUUUGCCCACACAGACUUAAAUUUCCAGCCUCAAAUUCUUCUACCAUGAUUGCUGUGUAGAAGGUAAUCCGUUGACACGUUUCUUUAAUGUGGGCAGAGAGCCUCUUACGUCAGGAGGAGCUGGACGGAGUGUGGGCGGAUAACGUGUUCCGUUCCUCAGACAUCCUGAGGGUGGGCCGCGGACUUGCACUUCCCACGGGCGCCCGAGAGUACUCCGAGCCCCAGAGCAGGGGAGAAAAUUGAGGCUGAAAAUGGUUCCUGUGGCCAGCAAUGAACAGAGUCAAGGUUUUUGUUUGUUUGUUUGUUUGUUUGUUUGUUUUAAAUAUGAAAUUUAUCGUCAAAUUGGUUUCCAUACACCCGGCGUUCAUCCCAACAGGUGCCUUCCUCAAUGCCCAUGACCCACUUUCCACUCUGUCCCACCCAAGAGUCAAGGUUUAAACACAGAACUUGUGACUGCACAGGAUGGUCUGGCCUAGUUGAGCUGUAUGUAAUUGGUCAGCAGUUCCUCUAGUUGGACUGGACAUCAGUGUUUUCACACAGUGAACUCCACAGUGGACACUCCUGCAGAGUCCCCUAGCCAGGGCCAAGGGGGUUUCUGCUUCCAGCCAUGGUGAAGUUGCGGAGAGCAGGGUUACCUUCUGCCUUAAACAACUAGAAAACCAGUUGAAAUAUACAAAACUGGGUUUGGGACAGUGGAAAGCAGGCAGCUCGGGACCAUGAUCUCUGUGAGAGACAAGAAGAAGACGUGCGUGAGCCCAGGAUUGGACUCCCGGGAGGCAGUUCCCAGGCUGCCUUGUGGGACGGGGACAGACACAAAGCUACCUUGGAUAUUCACUGAGAGCUGAGGUGGCUGGAAUUUGCGGUGAAGGGCCCUGGCGGGAAGGAAGUGGCACGGAGAGGGCCACGGACGUGUGCAGAGGGCCUGCUGGGCUCCGCUGACCUGUGUUUGACUGAAUACUGACCGUGCGAGCUACCCAAGGCCAGGGGUAGACACAGAAGGAGUGGACAGAAUACCUUCUGGGGCUCUCAGACAGCUGGAAGGAGUUCACGUUCCCACCAGCCAGACAAGAAGGGCCUCACGAUACUCAGAGCAGCAGGUGGAGGCCUGGAAAGGUGUCAGCUUAGUGAUGGGACUAAGCCUAAAACGAAGGCUGCUGUAGAGCUGCCGUCCUGAUUGCAUAGAAUUCGUCUAACGAGAUGAGGACAAGAGGUUAGGACCUGAAACCUGUUGGAUAAGCAGUGGGGAUUCCCCGGAGGAAGCUGGAAGGUGAGGCGGGAUAGAAGAAGGACCGGUGUUCCGGCAAAGAGGAAGGUGGCUGAGUUUGUGGAGCCAGGGGCCACCGGGCUUUGUGGAUACAGACUACCAUGCCUGCGGGAAUCUUGCCUCAAAAUGAAGAGCCAUACUCCACUUUGGUGAAUGACAGUCCAUAUGCUGCCAACAUGAAGGUGUCUUCACACGUGGUUGUUGAAACGGGUGAAGACUCAACCAAAUGGAAGUCUGAGCUUCGGUGGUGAAGUCUGCUCACCAGCCACCUCACCCCUGGGGGUUUGCUGAAGGAGAAACGUGGAAAUCAAAAGGUCCUGGGCCUGAAGUGUUUCUGUCUUGUUUGUAAAUAAAGUCGGGGGUGGUGGCCUGAAUGUCCGGCAGUGGAGACAGGAGUGGGUCAGUGGCGAUGCACCUGCGUGUGCAUCCCUGAGUGAGCGCCUGGGCGGGUGUGUAGAAGGGCAGGAAAUGGCUUGUGGUGUGCUUCCAGACUCACCCAAGGCCCCAUGCAGACAGCGGGAGGGGGGCUGUGAGGUCUCAGGGGACAGGCGGGAGAGGGGUCGUGCAGUCUCGGUGGGCAGGAGGGGGGCAAUGUGGUCUUGGGGGACAGG